rnacentral:tRNA from 1 species
GGAGGGGUGCCGGAGUGGUCGAUCGGGGCGGUCUCGAAAACCGUUAAACCCUUUGCGGGGUUUCGUGGGUUCGAAUCCCACCCCCUCCGCCA